GGGGGAACUGAAACAUCUAAGUACCCCGAGGAAAAGAAAUCAACCGAGAUUCCCCCAGUAGCGGCGAGCGAACGGGGAGGAGCCCAGAGCCUGAAUCAGUGUGUGUGUUAGUGGAAGCGUCUGGAAAGGCGCGCGAUACAGGGUGACAGCCCCGUACACAAAAAUGCACAUACUGUGAGCUCGAUGAGUAGGGCGGGACACGUGGUAUCCUGUCUGAAUAUGGGGGGACCAUCCUCCAAGGCUAAAUACUCCUGACUGACCGAUAGUGAACCAGUACCGUGAGGGAAAGGCGAAAAGAACCCCGGCGAGGGGAGUGAAAAAGAACCUGAAACCGUGUACGUACAAGCAGUGGGAGCCUCUUAAUGGGGUGACUGCGUACCUUUUGUAUAAUGGGUCAGCGACUUAUAUUCUGUAGCAAGGUUAACCGAAUAGGGGAGCCGAAGGGAAACCGAGUCUUAACUGGGCGUUAAGUUGCAGGGUAUAGACCCGAAACCCGGUGAUCUAGCUAUGGGCAGGUUGAAGGUUGGGUAACACUAACUGGAGGACCGAACCGACUAAUGUUGAAAAAUUAGCGGAUGACUUGUGGCUGGGGGUGAAAGGCCAAUCAAACCGGGAGAUAGCUGGUUCUCCCCGAAAGCUAUUUAGGUAGCGCCUCGUGAAUUCAUCUCCGGGGGUAGAGCACUGUUUCGGCAAGGGGGUCAUCCCGACUUACCAACCCGAUGCAAACUGCGAAUACCGGAGAAUGUUAUCACGGGAGACACACGGCGGGUGCUAACGUCCGUCGUGAAGAGGGAAACAACCCAGACCGCCAGCUAAGGUCCCAAAGUCAUGGUUAAGUGGGAAACGAUGUGGGAAGGCCCAGACAGCCAGGAUGUUGGCUUAGAAGCAGCCAUCAUUUAAAGAAAGCGUAAUAGCUCACUGGUCGAGUCGGCCUGCGCGGAAGAUGUAACGGGGCUAAACCAUGCACCGAAGCUGCGGCAGCGACGCUUAUGCGUUGUUGGGUAGGGGAGCGUUCUGUAAGCCUGUGAAGGUGGCCUGUGAGGGUUGCUGGAGGUAUCAGAAGUGCGAAUGCUGACAUAAGUAACGAUAAAGCGGGUGAAAAGCCCGCUCGCCGGAAGACCAAGGGUUCCUGUCCAACGUUAAUCGGGGCAGGGUGAGUCGACCCCUAAGGCGAGGCCGAAAGGCGUAGUCGAUGGGAAACAGGUUAAUAUUCCUGUACUUGGUGUUACUGCGAAGGGGGGACGGAGAAGGCUAUGUUGGCCGGGCGACGGUUGUCCCGGUUUAAGCGUGUAGGCUGGUUUUCCAGGCAAAUCCGGAAAAUCAAGGCUGAGGCGUGAUGACGAGGCACUACGGUGCUGAAGCGACAAAUGCCCUGCUUCCAGGAAAAGCCUCUAAGCAUCAGGUAACAUUAAAUCGUACCCCAAACCGACACAGGUGGUCAGGUAGAGAAUACCAAGGCGCUUGAGAGAACUCGGGUGAAGGAACUAGGCAAAAUGGUGCCGUAACUUCGGGAGAAGGCACGCUGAUAUGUAGGUGAAGCGACUUGCUCGUGGAGCUGAAAUCAGUCGAAGAUACCAGCUGGCUGCAACUGUUUAUUAAAAACACAGCACUGUGCAAACACGAAAGUGGACGUAUACGGUGUGACGCCUGCCCGGUGCCGGAAGGUUAAUUGAUGGGGUUAGCGGUAACGCGAAGCUCUUGAUCGAAGCCCCGGUAAACGGCGGCCGUAACUAUAACGGUCCUAAGGUAGCGAAAUUCCUUGUCGGGUAAGUUCCGACCUGCACGAAUGGCGUAAUGAUGGCCAGGCUGUCUCCACCCGAGACUCAGUGAAAUUGAACUCGCUGUGAAGAUGCAGUGUACCCGCGGCAAGACGGAAAGACCCCGUGAACCUUUACUAUAGCUUGACACUGAACAUUGAGCCUUGAUGUGUAGGAUAGGUGGGAGGCUUUGAAGUGUGGACGCCAGUCUGCAUGGAGCCGACCUUGAAAUACCACCCUUUAAUGUUUGAUGUUCUAACGUGGGCCCCUUACCGGGGUUGCGGACAGUGUCUGGUGGGUAGUUUGACUGGGGCGGUCUCCUCCUAAAGAGUAACGGAGGAGCACGAAGGUUGGCUAAUCCUGGUCGGACAUCAGGAGGUUAGUGCAAUGGCAUAAGCCAGCUUGACUGCGAGCGUGACGGCGCGAGCAGGUGCGAAAGCAGGUCAUAGUGAUCCGGUGGUUCUGAAUGGAAGGGCCAUCGCUCAACGGAUAAAAGGUACUCCGGGGAUAACAGGCUGAUACCGCCCAAGAGUUCAUAUCGACGGCGGUGUUUGGCACCUCGAUGUCGGCUCAUCACAUCCUGGGGCUGAAGUAGGUCCCAAGGGUAUGGCUGUUCGCCAUUUAAAGUGGUACGCGAGCUGGGUUUAGAACGUCGUGAGACAGUUCGGUCCCUAUCUGCCGUGGGCGCUGGAGAACUGAGGGGGGCUGCUCCUAGUACGAGAGGACCGGAGUGGACGCAUCACUGGUGUUCGGGUUGUCAUGCCAAUGGCACUGCCCGGUAGCUAAAUGCGGAAGAGAUAAGUGCUGAAAGCAUCUAAGCACGAAACUUGCCCCGAGAUGAGUUCUCCCUGACUCCUUGAGAGUCCUGAAGGAACGUUGAAGACGACGACGUUGAUAGGCCGGGUGUGUAAGCGCAGCGAUGCGUUGAGCUAACCGGUACUAAUGAACCGUGAG
rnacentral:rRNA from 1 species